UUAUGCGAAAUUUCAGGUUUAUUAAAGGCGCCUAUUUUAAAUGUGCGCAUUUAAAAAUAUGCAUGUAGCAAACGAAGACAUUCAAGCGUAAAAUUAUUUUGUUCUUAAACAUUCAUUUUUUCGUUGGCUGGUUUCUAAAUUUCGAAACAACCGUAUCAUUUCUUGCUUCGGCUUGUUGCUUUCGCAUAAGCAAGUAAAUAAAUCGAUUUUUUACAACUAACUUGAACGAUUUGCUGUUAUAUGAAUUGUGUGAAAGCGAUUUUGUCUCCAUAUAAAUAGGACCACCAACAAAUCAGGGGCUAGUUGUUUCAAAAAAUUUGCGAAAGGUUGAGUAUUCCAAUAUGAGAUAUAUGUUGCUGGUUUUAUAUGCCCUUGCAUGCUUAAGUGCUUGGGCAGCUGGGUAUCCCACGGGAAAAUCUGAACAAGAGCCAGUAGCUUCAAAUAGACAACAGAGACAAGUAGCAGGCGAUCGCAAUGAUGUGGUCGAUUUUGGGGCUCAUACGGGAGAAAAUGGCUCUUUUGGAUGGUACGCAGACUUUCCCGUUUAUGCGAAUGCCGACUGAAGGAGCAACUACGUAAAGUUCUGUAGAAUCAUCGUGUUUUGGAAAUUUGAACUGAAGAUUUGCAAUUAGCUUUCCCAUAUUUGUAGAACUGUGUUAUGUGCUGAUAAGGCGUUUAAGGAUAACUAUCUUUAAGUAUUCGUUGCAUGUGUUACUUUUAUUGACUAUUAAUGCGGACUCAGGACUCUGGACUAUGACUAACAACCAACCUGAUCUGUACUUUGACUGUUACCUUAUAUGUUUAGGAGUGAUUUUUUAAUUAGCCUUACUCGAAAUCAUCUGACCAAAGAACUUAGAUUAGUUUUCAACAUUCUGUAAUCUUUUCCUCACUAACAUUUUAUUAUUUCUCAAUAACAUUUACCUACUUUCUAUACAUACAUAUUUCUUAGGGUUCGACGGCUAUACUAACAAACAUUUUACGUUCAAAUUAAAUGUAUUCUUUCUUU